CCUACGGGUGGCAGCAGUAGGGAAUAUUGCUCAAUGGGGGAAACCCUGAAGCAGCAACGCCGCGUGGAGGAUGAAGGUUUUCGGAUUGUAAACCUCUUUUGUCAGAGAAGAUAAUUACGGUAUCUAAUCAACAAUCACUUGCUAACACCGUGCCAGCAGCCGCGGUAAUACGGAGGGUGCACGCGCUACUCGGAAUGACUGGGCGUAAAGAGCGCGUAGGCGGGAUAGCAAGUCAGAUGUGAAAUCCUAUGGCUUAACGAGAGAACUGCAUUUGAAACUGUUAAUCUGGAGUAUGGGAGAGGUAGGUGGAAUUCUUGGUGUAGGAGUAAAAUCCGUAGAGAUCAAGAGGAAUACUCGUUGCGAAGGCGACCUGCUGGAACAUAACUGACGCUGAGGCGCGAAAGCGUGGGGAGCAAACAGGAUUAGAUACCCGGGUAGUC
rnacentral:rRNA from 1 species